rnacentral:rRNA from 1 species
AAGGUGGGGAUGACGUCAAGUCCUCAUGGCCUUAUGACCAGGGCUACACACGUACUACAAUGGCCGGUACAAAGGGCAGCCACUUAGCGAUAAGGAGCCAAUCCCGUAAAGCCGGUCUCAGUCCGGAUUGGAGUCUGCAACUCGACUCCAUGAAGUUGGAAUCGCUAGUAAUCGCAGAUCAGCACGCUGCGGUGAAUACGUUCCCGGGCCUU